rnacentral:rRNA from 1 species
GUCUACGGCCAUGCCACCCUGAACAUGCCCAAUCCCAUCUGAUCUCGGAAGCUAAGCAGGGUCGGGCCUGGUUAGUACUUGGAUGGGAGACCACCUAGGAAGACCAGGUGCUGUAGGUG